UAGGGAAUCUUCGGCAAUGGACGAAAGUCUGACCGAGCAACGCCGCGUGAGUGGAGAAGGUUUUCGGAUCGUAAAACUCUGUUGUUAGAGAAGAACAAGGACGUUAGUAACUGAACGUCCCCUGACGGUAUCUAACCAGAAAGCCACGGCUAACUACGUGCCAGCAGCCGCGGUAAUACGUAGGUGGCAAGCGUUGUCCGGAUUUAUUGGGCGUAAAGCGAGCGCAGGCGGUUUCUUAAGUCUGAUGUGUAAGCCCCCGGCUCAACCGGGGAGGGUCAUUGGAAACUGGGAGACUUGAGUGCAGAAGAGGAGAGUGGAAUUCCAUGUGUAGCGGUGAAAUGCGUAGAUAUAUGGAGGAACACCAGUGGCGAAGGCGGCUCUCUGGUCUGUAACUGACGCUGAGGCUCGAAAGCGUGGGGAGCAAACAGG
rnacentral:rRNA from 1 species